GUACACGCUGUGACUAGCAUAUCAAUAAGCGGAGGAAAAGAAACUAACAAGGAUUCCCUCAGUAACGGCGAGUGAAGCGGGAAGAGCUCAAAUUUGAAAUCUUAAAGGUUCUACCUUGCACGAAUUGUAGUUUAAAGAAGUGUUUUUCUGUUGACGAUCUGGUAAUAUAAGUUCUUUGGAAUAGGACAUCAUCAGAGGGUGAGAAUCCCGUCUAUGAUUGCGAUUUGUAGCUUUGUGAUACACUUUCAAAGAGUCGGGUUGUUUGGGAAUGCAGCCCAAAAACGGGAGGUAAAUUUCUUCUAAGGCUAAAUAUUGGCGAGAGACCGAUAGCGAACAAGUACCGUGAGGGAAAGAUGAAAAGAACUUUGAAAAGAGAGUUAAACUAGUACGUGAAAUUGUCAAAAGGGAAGCGUUUGACACCAGUGUUGUUUUUCUCGAAAAUCAAUUAAAAAAUGGCUCGAUUUUGUAUUGCUGAGACCUUAAAAGCUCACUGUACAUUUUUCGUGUCUUUUUUAAUGCACUUUUCGUUUAACAAGUCAACAUCAGUUUCUUUUGUUGUAAAAGGGUCAUUGGAAGGUGGCUUUCUUUUCGGAGAAAGUGUUUAUAGCCUUUGGCCUCUGCAAUCGAAGAGACUGAGGUCUGCAGCGUAGACUCUUCGGGGUUAGAUACAUUUGUGCUAAGUUAUAGCUUUUUAUAGACAACUUGUUGACUAUAAUUAGUCUUGUAGCUUACUCGCUUAUGCUAUUUUACCUACGCUUAGGAUGUUGAGUAGCGACAUACGCAC
rnacentral:rRNA from 1 species